rnacentral:lncRNA from 1 species
UGGCACGGAACUUCUAGUCUUAGGUGUGUGCAAGGUAGACCAUUUAGCCAUACACGCCCACUUCCCAGCAGAGCCUCCCCGUGAGGGGAGGUGGCUAUGACCCUAGAGCCCCCAGGAGAGCUGCUGGGCAGUAGAUCCCUAGGGUAUCCAAAGACCCACCAUGUUUAACCUUGAACUCCAGUGUUAUACCCUGCCCUACUAUCCCCAGGAUUCAGCACGUUGGACCAACUGAAGCGGCGGAACACGCUGAAAGAUGGCAUUAUCAUGAUCCAGACCCUCCUCAUCAUCCUCUUCAUCAUCGUCCCCAUCUUCUUACUACUAGACAAGGUGCCCACUGGAACUGGGGAGUGGGAGGAGCUCUGGAAGGCUGGGAGGUUGGCACAGGGCAGACAGGACCUGGGCGGGGUCCCCAUAUUCUCAGACUCUGUGGCUGCUCAUCCAGCUCCAAGCCUGUCCAUUGGCUCACUGUUCGUUCAUUCAUUUGGUCUUGGAGACUCCUUCCCUCUUCCUCUCCCCCACCCUGACCCACAUCCCUGGCCCAUCAGGGGGCAGAGAUGGAGGACCCUAACCCUCUGAACUGCAUUCUCUCCCCACCCUACCCCCACUCUCCUGCAGGAUGACAGCAAGGCCGGGAUGGAAGAGGACCACACCUAUGAGGUAAGGGUCAGGGUUGCUUAGCAACUGAGCUGCAGCGUCCACCCUUUGUUGUGAUGCUUAGAAC